AAGUGGUGAAGGAGAAAGAGGCAAACAUCGGUUAUCAAGAGAACGGUGAAGGAGCAUAAGUUGUACUCCAAUCACCCCCAGCCCUGCAACAGAAGUGAAAUGUUCCAAUUAUUUCCAUGUGUGAUCAGUCAAUUCACGACAGAGCUUUAUGCUACCAACCUGUGGCUAACCAAAUUAGCUGCGAAAGUUAUUGGCUGAUCACCUCGUCCAAUGCCCUGUUCUUGUACGAAAAUUGGCACCCUUCGGCCUUUAAAAUUCAUGUGAGAGAACUGCUCCCCGAAACCGUAGAAUUUCUCACUUUUUUCACUGGAAUAAGUGAGAAAAAUCCUAUUGAAUUCUGUGGACUCUGGAGGCUUCAUUCCAACUAAUUCGUCCUCAGCAGAGGAAACCGCAACAUGGUUUCUUGGCCUUGGAAAGAACCAACACCAUCCGAGUUUCUUCUUCCGAAGCUGGCCCAGCUUCUGCCUCAUGACCCGACGCCUUCUCAGACCAGCCGGAGAAAUACUCUGGCUGUGGCCGAAGUUGGGUUUGCCCAGCCUCACCUGAAACCCAACUUGGUUACUGCUUUUCUGAUCAAAUAACACCCAGUAUCUUGCAUAAGUGCAAUCCUUUGUCAGCGUCAUGUUCUUACUCAAGGUGGAGUCUUGAGGCUGCUUCUUUUUCUUACUGAAGAUCCUGCCACUUAUUAUCAGGACAGGAAAGUCUUUUUUUUUCACAUCAAUGUGAUCAAAUCCUACACAUCCCAAAGGGAAAUCAGGAUCGGUGGCGUCCAAGAAACGGUCAAAAUGAUCGAUCACCCUUAUGUCUUCGACGGUCUGAUGAUCACAGACCAAUCGGACUUCCCUGUUCUUGACAACAAAUGAUCCUCUGCUUUCUUGAAUCUCUGUUUCGGCCAGAGCCGCAGAAACAAAGGCUUGUCCGGGGAUGGUGGACCAUAAAGACUUGUCAGGCUGCGAUCGGUGAGAAACCGAGAGAAGCCCGCCAUUCCUUGACUGCCAAGUGAGCUGAAAAUCUUUCCCAAUUGGGAAGAGCUGGUGCGACGUCAAUGUUAGCGACUCACAGAACAGAGUCCCCUGAAUGAAAGGCAGAGACUUUGGAGCAGAAGGGAAGGGGUUGUUGAGGUGCCUGUGGUGCUUCUUGGUGAUUUUGAGGCUUGACAUUUUCUAGGGAAGUCGAACAAACAGGAUAUAGAAUCGAUGGAUUCUCGAGUGCUUAUUUAUACAGACUAGGGAAGGAAAAUUCAACCAAGAUUCGUAUUUUCAGUUGCCGAGCGAAUUUUUAUUUUAUAUGGGAUUUUGUCCGAUCUUCUUUUCUUGGUUCCACAGUGGGGACAAAAGUGCCUUCUCUGGAUGUGGAUGAGCUCUUAGAGACGAAAGCGAAAAAGUCGAUUUUGACUCUGGGGCGCACGCCAGUAAAUGCGCCAGCUGACUUUCCUCUUGAAUGGCUCUCUCUGCCCCGAAUUUACUUGCAAUUAUUCCCCUGCCUGUUUUCAUUCUUUGCCCCAGCUGGUGGACUCUUGAUGCUAGAGAGAGACAGAUAGACAGCUAGACAGACAGACAGACAUCGUCGUCUCUGUGGAGGAUGAAUGGAUUGGGAUGGUUGAUCUUAUGCCUUAAAUUUUACCGAGAAAAUGAUGCUGGAGAUGCUAAAUGGGUGUCUGUGGAACGACGCUGCAGGCUUUUGUAGGUGUUUGAACAGAACAUAUUUUGUGUUGAGUAAAGGGUGAAGGGUCUAUCAAUUAGCAAAUCGAGAGUUAUUCCUUCUCCGAUAUUCCAUGAGAAAAGCCGAAAUUGCGUGCAGGGUCUCUCUCGUCCACAAGUUUAGAUUUUCUUGGUGCCGCCGACCACCUGCACCGAUAACUCCUUGUCUUAUCUCCAGCGUCGGACAUUGGAUCUAAUGCUUAUGUUUAAGGCAAUCGUAAUAGCAAAAAUCCUGAUUUUCAUGGAGGAGAUAGCUGGGGGAGGUUCACAGGCCACCUCGUUUCUUGGGAAAAUCAAGAAUUCUCUGGAAAUCUCAUAUUUACCAAUGCAUCAGCGGACUGUGACCUGGAAUUGUGCUUGGACCUGGUCGGCCUGUGGACUGUCGAAAUGGCCUGCAGAAACGCGUUCACUAGAAGGUCAAACGGAGGUUGCGAUUGUAAAGCAACUGAAGAGGCCUUUUCUAGUGUUAGGUCAUAUUCAUAUUCUAGAAAGUUAAUUUCUAAUGAGUCUUGGUUAAAGGUGAGCGAUUUCAGAUUCCGUACAAAUUUUAACUAGAACCUAAAACUUAUUAUGCAUACUCUGGAACUUGAAACUUAUCAUGUCACAAGUUCCAGGGUCGGUUUCAAGUUUUACCCAGGUUCAUCUAUAAUAUUAAUUGAACGAGCAGUGAAUCAUUAUUUUUAAUGAUCA